GCCUGCGCAUGCGCGGCUAACCACUAUGUAGUCGAAAAAGUGUCCGGAUGUUUGUGUGUGUGUGGGUGCCACAUCUUCGGUAAUCGUCGGAUAUACGAAAGAUGACGAACGGUGGUUCUUCUACUUCCGGAAAAUUUCGUUGUUUUCGAAGGACGGAAUUCGAAGCAACCGAAGUCACGUUAAUACGUUUGUCAAAUUUUAAAGCGAAGGCGAGUACUUAAAAGACGAAAAAGCGUUAAUCGAAAGAAGAAAUCAAUAUCCAUGCCAGUUCUGGCAAUGACGAUGGCAUACCCAGUGUUAGUGGUGAUCUGAUGAUGAUUCAAGUACAGCUGUCAAUCAUGCUGAUAUUAAACCAUAUUCCAGGAAACAAAGCAGUAAGAAAAGAAAAAGCGGUAAAGAUAAGUUCAAAAACCAUUUGGUUUUUGGCACCAAAACGUGGCGUCCAGGCCCUCUGUAAACAGAGGUGAAACACAGCCUUACAGAAGAGCCACACAGAUUCUGUCGAAGUUGAUCGAGACAAUAAUAAGUCUAAAACUACUAGUUUGCAACAAAUGUCAACGACAACGGCAAAAGAAGUAUGUCGGAAACUUUAUCUUCAAGUUAAAGCACUGGAUCGCGAGAAGUCAGCUUUGGAAGCACUCAGCCAAUCUUUAUCAGAAGAAGAAAACACAACUUUGAAAAAACUAAACGAAUCUUUUGUCAAAAAUAUUGAUACGCCUGGCUUAGGUACUUCAUCUGAUCUGUUACAAAUGCAAAUUGAGGAACUGAAAAGGGAAAAUGUCUUCUUAAAGGACUCUGGAAGUGGACCAGAUGUUUGUUAAUGAGGGAAAUCUACCAGAGUGGUGAACAAAAAGUUUGUGGCUCUGCUAAUGCUUGCGUACGACGACCGCAUCGAAGAGAAUCAAGUAAUAAUUCAGACCUACGAGAACUUUACACCUUCUGGGAAAUAAUGCAUGUAUCUUAUGUCUAAAGAUGUCAUAAUGGAACCCCUUUUCGGACAGGUCAAUGCCAUCAGCAUACAAAGUUUUGGUGACAGUUGCUUUGCAGGUAACGUUGAAUUCUCUCCCAAGUUACCCAGGUAAUUUGUAACUGUCUUAACGUUCCAGGUAUGCUGAUACCGAGGUUGAGGGGGUCGGGAUAUCGAGACUCCCUUCAUUAGCCGAACAACUAACGGGUGUUGACCAAUUGGCUUAUUAUCAAGGGGAACAUGUGCUGACGAAAUAGCCGAUCGCAGUAUAUUAAUAGUUCUGUACUGCUUCCCUUCCGAACACUGCUCUGCCAAAAACGUUAAGACCUCAGAGACUGGACAAUGUACGGGAUCACUUUCCCGUCUUUCACACCAGCUACGUCUUUGGGACCAGGAACAGUUGUAUGUCUUGGUGGAUGAGGUCUUAACGUUGUUGCAGAGCAGGUCAAUAGCCGUUGCUGAAAUGCCCGCUGUUUCGAACUGUCUCCUGAUACUCUCCACCCGGUUAGUUUUAGAGCUGGGAACAGGGGAUGAAUUGUUUCCGAUAGGACAUGUUUUUCAGGAGAUUUGAGUCGUUCCCAAGUCGUUUUGUGAAGGACCGCUGGAACUAAGUUGAAAGGUGGGAAUGCGUACGCUAUCAAUUUCGCCCAAUCCAUCGUGAAGGCGUCUGUAUGAAUCGCAUACGGAUCCGGCCGCCAACUGACGUAUCGGCUGAGUUGAUGGGUCAUUCGAGAUGUAAAGAGAUCUACUUGACAGUCUUUGAUUAGGUGUUUGAUGACCCUCGGAUCGAUUUUCCAGUCGUUUAGGUCCCUGAUCGUUCGUGACUCCUCGUCUGCGACAACAUUGUUCUUCCCGUGGCUCAGGAGACUAUGUACUAAUUGAUGACGAAUGCAGUGACGUUGGAAUGACGUGCCCGAACCAGUGGCCCGAACGUGCGUGGCUUCACCACUGAGCUAUAUGACAAUUCCUGGAGGACCGGCUCCUCCUGUCAAAAAAGUGAAGCAAGAAACAUGGCGGAUUUUUCGUGCUGACGCCAGAUAUGGGCCCAACUGGCCAUGGUAAUGACCACUGACACGGCUCAAUAUUGAGCCCACACCAGUGAUCUUUUUCCCGGUUACUUUUUGUCAGUAAACGUGUUGCAUUCGUUGUUUUGUGAACGACUGAACGUGUGUUUUACUUUUUGUUUAAUAAACAAUCCUGCCGCAACGGACAUUAAGCAAAUACUGAAAUUACAGGAAAUCGGAACAAUUUUGAAGCUAAAGGCGGAUUUUUACUUACAGCGAAAUCGUUCGCUAGCGAAAUAUUUGCAUAUUUUCUUUUGAAUUAAGAACAGUCAAGUCAACUAAUUGAUUAGUCAACUAAUUGAUUAGUCAACUAGUAGUAGGCGAGAAAUUUAUUUAAGAAUUGUUAGAAAGACACGUCGCUUAUCAGCCUUAAUACCUGAUCACAGAUGAAAAACGAAAGCACAGUAUAAAUCCAUUUGAAAACGUGCGAAAAUCUGUCGUUUACUUUUGAUUGUCGUGUACUUUCCGAUUCUCUAAAUCGUUUUUGUUUUUAUAGGCCUAGUCAAAGAAAUCUAAAAACGGCUAAAGUGGUAAUGAUAUUUGAAUCGAUCUUGGGCUAGCUUGGGUGACAGAACCAUGCAAUCUCUGAUGAACUAGUUGUGUUGCUAAUGUGUUUGAAAAGAAAGGUAUCACAAAAUACUGAUGGAUUAUUUUAUUAGGAACUUUAACAUUAACUUUUAGAAAUUUAUUUUUAAAAUUAUUAACAAUUAUAUAAUACAUGCAUUUUGUAAAAAUAGUGAAAAACAAUAAUUUAUUUUGCAACAUUGAAUGUGCACUCUCUGCAAUUUUUUAAGACAUAUGUCAGGCCAAGACGUUCGGCCUGACAGUUUCUUGCCAAGUGGCCCACUUUCCCACACUUGAAGCAUUUUUUUUCUACAAAAUACAUGCAACAAUUACUGUAAC